rnacentral:rRNA from 1 species
GACGAACGCUGGCGGCGUGCCUAAUACAUGCAAGUGGGACGCAAGGAAACACACUGUGCUUGCACACCGUGUUUUCUUGAGUCGCGAACGGGUGAGUAACGCGUAGGUAACCUGCCUAUUAGCGGGGGAUAACUAUUGGAAACGAUAGCUAAUACCGCAUAAUAUUAAUUAUUGCAUGAUAAUUGAUUGAAAGAUUCAAGCGCAUCACUAGUAGAUGGACCUGCGUUGUAUUAGCUAGUUGGUAAGGUAAGAGCUUACCAAGGCGACGAUACAUAGCCGACCUGAGAGGGUGAUCGGCCACACUGGGACUGAGACACGGCCCAGACUCCUACGGGAGGCAGCAGUAGGGAAUCUUCGGCAAUGGACGAAAGUCUGACCGAGCAACGCCGCGUGAGUGAAGAAGGUUUUCGGAUCGUAAAGCUCUGUUGUAAGUCAAGAACGUGUGUGAGAGUGGAAAGUUCACACAGUGACGGUAGCUUACCAGAAAGGGACGGCUAACUACGUG